AAAAGUGAAAUUGAAUUGUUGUAAUAUAAAUAUAAACUUUAAUUGAAGCAAAAAAGGUUUAGAUUUAAACUAGGAUUAGAUACCCUAUUAUACUAGAAGAUAAUAAAUUUAAUUUGAUUAUUAAUAGAUAUGUUCUUUAAAUUUAAAAAAUUUGGCGGUAAUUUAGUCUUGUUAGAGGAACCUGUUUUUUAAUCGAUAAACCACGAAGAAUCUUACUUAGGCUUGUAUACUAUCAUUAUUAGAUAAUUUUUUUAAAAAUAAUUAUUGGUAUUUAUAUUUUUAAAUAGAUUAGAUCAAGGUGCAGCUAAUGGAUAAGUUAAAAUGGGUUACAAUAAAGUUUAUUUAUUAUGAAUAAAUUUUUUUUGAAGGAGGAUUUAAUUGUAUAUAAGUUUAAUAUGCUUGUAAGAUAUAAGCUCUAAAUUAUGUACAUAUUGCCCGUCGCUCUC
rnacentral:rRNA from 1 species